GCCAAGAUAGCUCAACUGGCAGAGCAGCGGUAUCGUAAACCGCAGGUUGUGGGUUCGACCCCCACUCUUGGCUCCA
rnacentral:tRNA from 3 species